rnacentral:rRNA from 1 species
AGUGAACGCUGGCGGCAGGCCUAACACAUGCAAGUCGAACGGCAGCACAAGAGAGCUUGCUCUCUGGGUGGCGAGUGGCGGACGGGUGAGGAAUGCAUCGGAAUCUGCCCAUUUGUGGGGGAUAACCUCGGGAAACCGGGACUAAUACCGCAUACGACCUACGGGUGAAAGCAGGGGAUCUUCGGACCUUGCGCAGAUGGAUGAGCCGAUGCCGGAUUAGCUAGUUGGAGGGGUAAAGGCCCACCAAGGCGACGAUCCGUAGCUGGUCUGAGAGGAUGAUCAGCCACACUGGAACUGAGACACGGCCCAGACUCCUACGGGAGGCAGCAGUGGGGAAUAUUGGACAAUGGGCGCAAGCCUGAUCCAGCCAUGCCGCGUGUGUGAAGAAGGCCUUCGGGUUGUAAAGCACUUUUGUUGGGAAAGAAAAGCAGCCGGUUAAUACCCGGUUGUCAUGACGGUACCCAAAGAAUAAGCACCGGCUAACUUCGUG